CAAGUGCACCCUCAUACCUUGGGAAGGCGGGCAGUCUGUCGACACGGCAACCUGUAAACACAAGAAACCAAAGGUAUGAGAACCACUGCAAAGGACCCAAUGAAGACAGCAGAAGUCUGUUUUGACUCUCUACUACCAUUAGGUGAAAUUGAUCCAGACACUUUACAAAGAAUUCUAACAUGUAGGAGUGUAGGGUAACCACUACACGAGUCAAUUUUCAAGACCCUCAACGAAACAGAACACAAGACGUCAAGUUUCACGGAAGGAAUUCUGCAGACAUGGCUACCUGGAAACAAGAGAAAUAAAAGUGACGUGAAGCACCAGGAUGGACCCACUGACGACAACCAAGGUCUCCCAAGCAGCUUUACUGCAUGGAAAAAGCUGCAAGGAAGAGCAUUUUAUUGCAGUGGAUUAAUGAAAAAGUACCAACUGUUUAAGGCUGGCACAGAGUGCAGUUUGAGUUAGUCUCAUUACUGUACCGUACAGCUAUAUGACAUUCAAAAACAGACCAAUUCUAUAAAACGUGGGAACCCAAUGUGAACUAUGUAGAGCCUGGUGUCUACCAUCAUGCUGCAAAACGUUCUGCUGCACAUUAUCAUUGUAAGAACGAAUGAGCUAAUAUUGUGUUGUUCCACUUGCUUGCUCAGUGGUUUGUAUUAAUCUUUUACUUGUUGCAAAUGGAGAAAAUAUAUUGCAAAAAAAUAAAUUAUACAAUACAAAAAUUAUACGAUCGAAACAGCAUUUCAAAAUAUUUUUAUUCAUUCAUUCUCAGUCUCACCAAGCACAGUUAAACAGAUAAGAUUAUAUUUCUUAAAAAUAACUGACAUCUUCU